rnacentral:rRNA from 1 species
CGUAGGGCGCGAGCGUUGUCCGGAUUUAUUGGGCGUAAAGAGCUCGUAGGCGGCUCGUCGCGUCGGUUGUGAAAACCUGCAGCUUAACUGUGGGCGUGCAGCCGAUACGGGUGGGCUAGAGUUCGGUAGGGGAGACUGGAAUUCCUGGUGUAGCGGUGAAAUGCGCAGAUAUCAGGAGGAACACCGGUGGCGAAGGCGGGUCUCUGGGCCGAUACUGACGCUGAGGAGCGAAAGCGUGGGGAGCGAACAGGAUUAGAUACCCUGGUAGUCCACGCUGUAAACGUUGGGCGCUAGGUGUGGGGGGCCUCUCCGGUUCUCUGUGCCGUAGCUAACGCAUUAAGCGCCCCGCCUGGGGAGUACGGCCGCAAGGCUA